rnacentral:rRNA from 1 species
GACGAACGCUGGCGGCGUGCUUAACACAUGCAAGUCGAAGGCUAAAGCUUGUUGCUGCCAUGGGGUGGAUGGGGGGCGAACGGGUAAUUAAUACGGGAGUAACCUGCCCUUGACGCUGGAAUAAGCGUGGGAAAUGGGGUCUAAGACUGAUUACAUCAGGUCACCUCAUGUUGUUUUGUGAAAAGGGUUUUACUGGUUUUGUAUGGUCUAACGGCCUAUUAGCUUGUUGGUGGGGUAAUGGCUCACAAAGGCGACGACGGGUAGCCGGCCUGAGAGGGUGACCGGCCACACUGGGACUGAGACACGGCCCAGACUCCUACGGGAGGCAGCAGUGGGGAAUAUUGCACAAUGGGCGGAAGACUGAUGCAGAGAAGCCGUGUGAGGGAUGACGGCCUUCGGGUUGUAAACCUCUUUCAGCACGGAAGAAGCGAAAGUGACGGUACGUGCAGAAGAAGCGCCGGCUAACUACGUG